GCCAUAGAACUUCUCUGGAUAUUUUUCCUACAAUUCUGCAAGUUGCUGCGAAAUCUGCCAAACACAUCUGCUCAAACUCUGGUGUUUCUGGUCUGGAUUUGUAUUUGUCAGUCAAAGAUGUCAUCCACACAUUUACACUUUCUAAUGUUGUGUUCUCCAGAGUACGCCUGCAUGAUUUCCCUCAUCUCAUCACAUUCAUUGACGUGGUCUCUGGUGGAGUUUUCAAUGACUGUUUUAAGGUACUCAGAAAGUCCAGAUUCCUUUUUGGUGAUGUAGCUGGUGAGAUACAUGAUGCACGAAUAUGCAUUGAGAAUAUAACUGACAUCAAUAUUGGCAUCCC
ensembl:lncRNA